rnacentral:rRNA from 1 species
GGCGGCGUGCCUAAUACAUGCAAGUCGAACGAUGAUUCUCUAGCUUGCUAGAGUGGAUUAGUGGCGCACGGGUGAGUAAUGCAUAGAUAACAUGCCCUUUAGUCUAGGAUAGCCAUUGGAAACGAUGAUUAAUACUGGAUACUCCUUACGAGGGAAAGUUUUUCGCUAAAGGAUUGGUCUAUGUCCUAUCAGCUUGUUGGUGAGGUAAUGGCUCACCAAGGCUAUGACGGGUAUCCGGCCUGAGAGGGUGAACGGACACACUGGAACUGAGACACGGUCCAGACUCCUACGGGAGGCAGCAGUAGGGAAUAUUGCUCAAUGGGGGAAACCCUGAAGCAGCAACGCCGCGUGGAGGAUGAAGGUUUUCGGAUUGUAAACUCCUUUUGUUAGAGAAGAUAAUGACGGUAUCUAACGAAUAAGCACCGGCUAACUCCGUGCCAGCAGCCGCGGUAAUACGGAGGGUGCAAGCGUUACUCGGAAUCACUGGGCGUAAAGAGCGCGUAGGCGGGAUAGCAAGUCAGAUGUGAAAUCCUAUGGCUUAACCAUAGAACUGCAUUUGAAACUGUUAUUCUAGAGUAUGGGAGAGGUAGGUGGAAUUCUUGGUGUAGGGGUAAAAUCCGUAAGAGAUCAUGAGGAAUACUCCUUUGCGAAGGCGGCCUGCUCGAACAAUAACUAACGGCUGAAUGCGCGAAAGGCGUUGGGGAGCAAACAGGAUUUAGGAUACCCUGGUAGUCCUACGCCCCUAAAACGAUGAGUGCUAGUUGUUGUGGAGCUUGUCUCUGCAGUAAUGCAGCUAACGCACUAAGCAUUCCGCCUGGGGGAGUACGGUCGCAAGAUUAAAACUCAAAGGAAAUAGACGGGGACCCGCACAAGCGGUGGAGCAUGUGGUUUAAUUCGAAGAUACACGAAGAACCUUACCUAGGCUUGACAUUGAUAGAAUCCGCUAGAGAUAGUGGAGUGCUAGCUUGCUAGAACUUGAAAACAGGUGCUGCACGGCUGUCGUCAGCUCGUGUCGUGAGAUGUUGGGUUAAGUCCCGCAACGAGCGCAACCCUCGUCCUUAGUUGCUAACUAUUCGGUAGAGCACUCUAAGGAGACUGCCUUCGCAAGGAGGAGGAAGGUGAGGAUGACGUCAAGUCAUCAUGGCCCUUACGCCUAGGGCUACACACGUGCUACAAUGGGAAGCACAAAGAGAUGCAAUAUUGUGAAAUGGAGCAAAUCUAUAAAACUUCUCUCAGUUCGGAUUGUAGUCUGCAACUCGACUACAUGAAGCUGGAAUCGCUAGUAAUCGUAAAUCAGCUAUGUUACGGUGAAUACGUUCCCGGGUCUU